GUGGGGAAUAUUGGACAAUGGGGGGAACCCUGAUCCAGCCAUGCCGCGUGUGUGAAGAAGGCCUUUUGGUUGUAAAGCACUUUAAGCGAGGAGGAGGCUACCGAGAUUAAUACUCUUGGAUAGUGGACGUUACUCGCAGAAUAAGCACCGGCUAACUCUGUGCCAGCAGCCGCGGUAAUACAGAGGGUGCAAGCGUUAAUCGGAUUUACUGGGCGUAAAGCGCGCGUAGGUGGCCAAUUAAGUCAAAUGUGAAAUCCCCGAGCUUAACUUGGGAAUUGCAUUCAAUACUGGUUGGCUAGAGUAUGGGAGAGGAUGGUAGAAUUCCAGGUGUAGCGGUGAAAUGCGUAGAGAUCUGGAGGAAUACCGAUGGCGAAGGCAGCCAUCUGGCCUAAUACUGACACUGAGGUGCGAAAGCAUGGGGAGCAAACAGGAUUAGAUACCCCAGUAGUCC
rnacentral:rRNA from 1 species